rnacentral:tRNA from 1 species
GGGGAUUUAGCCUAGUGGCAUAAGUGCCUGCCUUGCAAGCAGGCAGUGAUGAGUUUGAUCCCCG